rnacentral:rRNA from 1 species
CAAUAGCGUAUAUUAAUGUUGUUGCAGUUAAAAAGCUCGUAGCCGACUCUCGGGGCUGUCGCAACGGUCCGCAGAAAUGUGAGCACUGUUGCGGCCGCCUCUUCCUUCUGGACACCAUGUCUUCUCUUCACUGAGCGGAUGUGGGGGCCAGAUCGUUCACUUUGAACAAAUUAGAGUGUUCAAAGCAGGCCUCCGCCUGAAUACUUGAGCAUGGAAUGAUAUCAAUAGGUUCUUCCUUCUCGUUUAUUGGUGAUGAGAAGGAAGAAAAUGAGAAAGGGGAAUGGUUGGGGCCAUUCGUACUGCAGCGUUAGAGGUGAAAUUCUUGGAUCGCUGCAGGACGAACAACAGCGAAAGCAUUUGGCAAGAACGUUUCCACCGG